GGGGAUUUGGCUCAGUGGAAGAGCGCUUGCCUAGUAAGCACAAGGCCCUGGGUUCAGUCCCCAGCUCCG
rnacentral:tRNA from 1 species